rfam:Thioalkalivibrio sp. K90mix, complete genome.
CUGGCCCCUGAGCUGCGAGGAUUCGAACCCGAGGUAAUCCAAAACGAUGGUUCGACUGGCAGCGCGUAGCGAUGCCAGAACGUCACCGCAGGUGACGACCCGAAGGGCGAGACACAUCGUGCCGAGUAAUCCCUCCCUCUCCGCCA